AUUGAACGCUGGCGGCAUGCCUUACACAUGCAAGUCGAACGGCAGCACGGGAGUAAUCCUGGUGGCGAGUGGCGAACGGGUGAGUAAUGUAUCGGAACGUGCCCAGUCGUGGGGGAUAACGUAGCGAACGCUACGCUAAUACCGCAUACGAUCUAUGGAUGAAAGCGGGGGAUCGCAAGAACUCGCGCGAAUGGAGCGGCCGAUAUCAGAUGAGGUAGUUGGUGGGGUAAAGGCUCACCAAGACGACGACCUGUAGCUGGUCUGAGAGGACGACCAGCCACACUGGGACUGAGACACGGCCCAGACUCCUACGGGAGGCAGCAGUGGGGAAUUUUGGACAAUGGGCGCAAGCCUGAUCCAGCAAUGCCGCGUGCAGGAUGAAGGCCUUCGGGUUGUAAACUGCUUUUGUACGGAACGAAACGGCGAGCUCUAAUACAGUUUGCUAAUGACGGUACCUGAAGAAUAAGCACCGGCUAACUACGUGCCAGCCGCCGCCGUAA
rnacentral:rRNA from 1 species